UGGGGAAUAUUGGGCAAUGGAGGCAACUCUGACCCAGCAACGCCGCGUGAAGGAAGAAGGCCUUAGGGUUGUAAACUUAUGUUGUAAAGGAAGAAAAGAAUGACGGUACUUUACAAGAAAGCCCCGGCUAACUAUGUGCCAGCAGCCGCGGUAAGACAUAGGGGGCAAGCGUUGUUCGGAAUUACUGGGCGUAAAGGGAGCGUAGGCGGGAGAUUAAGUUAAGAGUGAAAGCCUUGGGCUCAACCCAAGAAAUGCUCUUAAUACUGGUUUUCUAGAGUGUGGGAGAGGUAAGUGGAAUUCCUA
rnacentral:rRNA from 1 species